GACUAAGCAAUAUUAGUGGUCGUUUAGUCACUAAGUCGUGUCCGACUCUUGAGACCCCACGGACUGUAGCCUGCCAGGCUCCUCUGUCCAUGGAAUUUUCCAGGCAAGAAUACUGGAGUGGGUUGCCAUUCCCUUCUCCAGGAGAUCUUCCCAUCCCAGGAAUUUAACCCAGGUCUUCUGCAUUGCAGGCAGAUUCUUUACCAACUGAGCUACAAGGGAAGCUGUCAGACAAAAUAUAAUUCAAAGUGAAAAGACACUAUCAGACAAAAAAGAAUUCAAGGAUGAAAAAAGUUUUCUCUAAGAAGUAAGGAAACUUUCCGCAGAAAGACAGCAGACAAUUCUACAUCUCAUUGCAGAUGCCCACUCCUGAACCAAUAAAUUACCCUCAGCCCAAACAGACCACCCCGGGAAUAGAGAGUGGGAUCACCUGCCCCCAGGGACAUUGCUGUGUGGAUGGAGCCUGCCAACUCGGACUCCUGACUACGCAACACAGUCAUUCAGCUCCCAUUAAACAGGUCAUUGCCAAAAUGAGCAAAAAUAGACAUUAUUCUGGGUUGAAAAGGGAGAAGAGUUGGAAAAUUGGGGUUGGUCUUAUGGAACUUCAGCCACUUGGAAAGCUCAGUGCCAACUCAAAAAGUGUCUUUAAGCAAAAUGACGUGAAUAUGGAUGUAAGUCAAGAAGGGCCCAGGAUCACGCAUCUGCCUUUAAAGGUGGCACUGAAGUCUCAUGAAGUGAUACUUUCCAUUGAGGGUCAUGGAGGUUAAAGUCAGCAAACUGAGAGAAGAAGCUGAUGGAGAGUUUGAUUUACAAUUCCGAUUUUUGUUUCUUGGUUCUUUCUUUCCCCCUUCAACCCAGAUGUCUUAACAAAACCAGCUGUGUAAUUUUGCCCAGUGCAAAAUGAAAAUGUGGGCUUCUUCAAAAGUUAUGAAAAAUUUCAAAAUGGUGCCCAUGAAGCUGGCUCUUCGUCUAGCCCUGAUUAAAGUUGGCUAUUUCUAGUAUUCUGUCUCUAGGACU